rnacentral:ncRNA from 2 species
GAGUUCCGUUAGGGGUGUCAUCCCGACUGUUUCGCGAAACAGCCGGGGCGGCUGAGAGCAAACCCUCCGAACCUGAACUGGGUAAUACCAGCGAAGGAAAACGGGAAACUGGUAUU